rnacentral:tRNA from 1 species
GAGGAUAUAGCUCAGUGAUAGAGCACAUGCUUAGCAUGCAUGAGGUCCUGGGUUCAAUCCCUAGUGCCUCU